CACCGGCGGCUCGAGUGGUGGCCACUUUUAUUGGGUCUAAAGCGUCCGUAGCCGGCUUGGCAAGUCCCCUGGGAAAUCUGGCGGCUUAACCGUCAGGCGUCCAGAGGAUACUGCCAGGCUUGGGACCGGGAGAGGUGAGAGGUACCUCAGGGGUAGGGGUGAAAUCUUGUGAUCCCUGAGGGACCACCAGUGGCGAAGGCGUCUCACUAGAACGGGUCCGACGGUCAGGGACGAAAGCCAGGGGCGCGAACCGG
rnacentral:rRNA from 1 species